GCUUCCUCUUCAUAAGGGUAGGAAGUGGAAAUAGUGACAGGAGUGAAGGAGUGCUUGCUGGUGGCGGGUGAGUGAGGAGGAUUGGUGGUGGAAGGAGGAGAUGAGAGCCGAAACGUCUUUCCAAACUGCUCCUGGCUGAGGAGCCUCGGCCUGCCGCAAUCCUGCCACCCCUGCAAAGCCCAGAAUGCAGCAGGCAGACAGGGCUUUGGGAAGCCGCUCUGAAGCCACAGGUUUGACCUUGAAGACAGACGACUGACCCACUCUUCAAGGUAGCCUGACAGAAACUUCAUUUCUUUGGCCACGUCAGUCAAAUCCAGAGAAGGAAAAGAGACAAUUCUCAUUUCAUCAGCCCAAAAGUGUCUUCCUUUGGCUUUGGUAUCAAGGUAAUGCUGGCCUCAUAAGAUAUGGGGUCUCACUAUGUUGUCCAUGCUGAUCUCAAACUCCUGGGCUCAAGCAAUCUUCCCACCUCAGCCUCCCAAAGUGCUGGGAUUACAGGAGCACAAAGGAAAGGCCAUGCGAGGACACAGGGAGAAGACAGGCCCCUACCAGUCAGGAAGGGAGCCCUCACCAGAAACUGAGCUGGCCAGCACAAUGGUCUUGGACUUGUAGCUCCAGAACUGUGAGGAAAUAAAUUUCUGUUGUUGAAGCCA
rnacentral:lncRNA from 10 species